rnacentral:precursor_RNA from 14 species
GCCCCCCCAGAUUCCGACUGCCCUUUGGGGUGAGGUAGUAGGUUGUUUAGUUGUGGGUUGCACCCUGACGUUUGGAUAACUAUACAAUCUACUGUCUUUCCUGAAGUGGCUGUAAUGUCAUCGUGGGAGC